AUUGAACGCUGGCGGCAUGCCUUACACAUGCAAGUCGAACGGUAACGGGCCUUCGGGUGCCGACGAGUGGCGAACGGGUGAGUAAUAUAUCGGAACGUACCUUUCAGUGGGGGAUAAUGUAGCGAAAGUUACGCUAAUACCGCAUAUUCUGUGCGCAGGAAAGCAGGGGACCUUCGGGCCUUGCGCUGAUUGAGCGGCCGAUAUCAGAUUAGCUAGUUGGUGAGGUAAAGGCUCACCAAGGCGACGAUCUGUAGCGGGUCUGAGAGGAUGAUCCGCCACACUGGAACUGAGACACGGUCCAGACUCCUACGGGAGGCAGCAGUGGGGAAUUUUGGACAAUGGGGGCAACCCUGAUCCAGCCAUGCCGCGUGAGUGAAGAAGGCCUUCGGGUUGUGAAGCUCUUUCGGCCGGGAAGAAAUCGUAUGGGCUAAUACCCUGUGCGGAUGACGGUACCGGCAUAAGAAGCACCGGCUAACUACGUGCCAGCCGCCGCGGUAACAC
rnacentral:rRNA from 1 species